rnacentral:sRNA from 1 species
AAAUCCGGCACGAGGGGCAUCUGGGAACAGGGUUUCUGCCAGCCCCACCUUGGGGCCGCAUUUGGCGGGAACUGGAUCUGCCUUCACCUGCAGCCCUGUUGGGGGCGUGACGGAAAGAGCGGGGAGAGGGGCGUCCUGGUGCGGGGGUUGUGGAGCUUGGACACCAGCCCUGAAGCAGGGAAAAGACAGAUGUACUAAUUGUCAUGGAUGGCAAACUGUGCCCCCAAACUUGUACCAAGCCUCAAAGACUCGGUUUAAUACUCCUGAAGGAGUAAUAGACCCAAUAUGACAUUUUGCAUGCAGGAACCCCUUAACAGCUACUUCCAAAUUAUGCGUGCUUCAUGAAUGGAGACACCUACAUUAUAUGAAGUUCUCUAUUGGGCUGUAAACUUCCUGAGACAGGCCUUCUGGGAAGUUCCUCUCUACAUCCCAGGACUGCAAUGCCCAGUGCAGACCCGUGCAUUUAGAUGUUUCCAAAAUAGCAGUUGUUUCCUCGGCAUUAUGUUCUGCUGGUCUAGAGGUCUUAGUUCCAGAGGGAGGAACGCUGCCACCAAGAGACACAACAAU